rnacentral:tRNA from 1 species
AUGUUUGUAGCUAAAUUGGUUUAAAGCAUUAAACUACGGAUUUAAAGAAAUAAAGGUUCGAAUCCUUUCAAACAUA